rnacentral:lncRNA from 1 species
UAAAUUCUUUCCAUAGAUAGUGUUUGUGGUACUUACACUUGUUACUUUGUCUCAUCUUACUUUGACAGCUUGGCAGAUGGGAGAGACUGUGGCUUGGAUCACUGUAGUGAAACCAGACCUGACAUCCAUUUCCUUGGCCAGUGGAAUCAGUGUUACCAUCUAAAUAUCCAGGAUCUGCUAGAAGGAAAAUAAUGCAAUCUUUUGGAAAAUAAGGCAUAUUUAUUCAUCAGGUAAGCUUUCUUUUUUAAAAGUCUAAUAUGUAAUUUUCUAAUAUUUAACUG